GGUUAAGCGACUAAGCGUACACGGUGGAUGCCCUGGCAGUCAGAGGCGAUGAAGGACGUGCUAAUCUGCGAUAAGCGUCGGUGAGGUGAUAUGAACCGUUAUAACCGGCGAUUUCCGAAUGGGGAAACCCAGUGUGUUUCGACACACUAUCAUUAACUGAAUCCAUAGGUUAAUGAGGCGAACCGGGGGAACUGAAACAUCUAAGUACCCCGAGGAAAAGAAAUCAACCGAGAUUCCCCCAGUAGCGGCGAGCGAACGGGGAGGAGCCCAGAGCCUGAAUCAGUGUGUGUGUUAGUGGAAGCGUCUGGAAAGGCGCGCGAUACAGGGUGACAGCCCCGUACACAAAAAUGCACAUAUUGUGAGCUCGAUGAGUAGGGCGGGACACGUGGUAUCCUGUCUGAAUAUGGGGGGACCAUCCUCCAAGGCUAAAUACUCCUGACUGACCGAUAGUGAACCAGUACCGUGAGGGAAAGGCGAAAAGAACCCCGGCGAGGGGAGUGAAAAAGAACCUGAAACCGUGUACGUACAAGCAGUGGGAGCCUCUUAAUGGGGUGACUGCGUACCUUUUGUAUAAUGGGUCAGCGACUUAUAUUCUGUAGCAAGGUUAACCGAAUAGGGGAGCCGAAGGGAAACCGAGUCUUAACUGGGCGUUAAGUUGCAGGGUAUAGACCCGAAACCCGGUGAUCUAGCCAUGGGCAGGUUGAAGGUUGGGUAACACUAACUGGAGGACCGAACCGACUAA
rnacentral:rRNA from 1 species